CGCUGCUUCCGAACCGGAAAGUUGGUCUUGCCGAAGUCCCGCCGCCCCGGCGUGCGCACUCCGCUCCGCUCCGGCCGCGAGCCUACGAGCCUGGCCGGCCGCCGAGGGAGCCUGUGGAGGGGACACGAGCCAGGAGAGAAGGUCCGGAGCGAGGGGGCACCUGAGCCGGAGCGGGCCCGGCGUGCCGAGUGGUGCCGCGACCCGCCGCGGAGGAAAGAAGGCGGCGGCUAGCUUGGAGCGCCCGGAGCGCAGGCGGCGCGGCGCCCGAGCGACCCGGCGAGACAAAGGCGCCGGGCCGGAGCCCUGCCCGCGGCCGCUCGCUCCGGGAGGGGCCGCCCGGCGGCGGCGGCGGCGGCGGGGGGGCGCGGCGCGG
rnacentral:lncRNA from 1 species